rnacentral:misc_RNA from 1 species
UUCCAACUCACAUAAUAAAUUCUGUCCAACGUUUAAGGUUUAUUUAUGGGAGGCCAGAUGUUCCAAAAGCCUCUCGAGAGAUUGCUGCUGAAGUCGACUCAGAGCUUGCAAGUUUACAGAAUGAUGAGGACUGGAAUGCUGCUGUUCAGUUGUUGGUUAAAGCUGGUGAUCCCGGUGCCCAGUCUUUACCGGCAAAUGAUUGGUAUCGCUUGCGUCGCAGGCUUGAAAUUGUUAAGUCUACUGGGUCGCCUCCAUCAGCUUUUGAAGUACCAUAUAAUUCUUUCAGAGAACAGCUCGU